CUGCUCCUUUUUUUUUUUCCUCUCCACAAUGCCUGCUGAAGCAAUAUCUUAAGAAAGACAAGAUAAGCAAUACCUUUUCUAAGAGAAAAUAUUCUUGAAAUCUGGCAAAUUCUGCUGUGUUACUUUUAAAAACAAACAUUUCUCAGUGCAGGCUUGUCCACCUCUCUUGGAAAGUGUACAUCCUCUGACAUGAUGCAUUGUGAUAUAUUGAUGUGCUUAGAUAAUGACUGAUCUGACAGCACCCUCCAGGCACAAGAUUUUCCCUUGACGGGGAUGAGCUGCCAUCGUGCACUGUUAGAGGAAAUCAGAGAACACCAGGCCCACUGGUACGGACCCAGCUGGCAUGGGUCAAAUUCAGGCACCAGGUCAUAACUGCAAGAACUGAUCACUGUAAGAUGUGGAAAGAAGUGUCUGGAGCUGGAAAAAGAGUUCAGUUUGGGGGCUGGGCAGUGUUUUUACUUUAGUUUAGUUUUUUUUGUUGUUGUUAUUUUUAAGGGAGUAGAAUCAGUGGAACUACAUUUAUUUUAUUGGAAAGUAGUAACUGCAAUAAGCAGUGUCCCACUUGAAGAAGAUGGUAGCAUUUUGGAAAUGUAAGAUGAAGAUGUGAGGGCCACGUGAUUUGUACUAGUUGCUAAUUAACCAGUUUUGAGCAGAGUUUUGAAAGGUAGUUUGAGGUUUAGAAGCCUAAAUAGCUCAUCUGUUCCCUCCCUUUCUUUUGUGUUUCUUUACAGUUCCGAGGCUUAUGUCAUAUAUACAUGUAACCUGCAGCACCCUUCCUUACCAUGAAUGCAGAUCAACAGACCUUGGUUGUUGUGGGCUGUACAGCAAGGGGCACGUCCCACAGGCCGGUCCCUGCCAACGUUCUUCUCUGCACAGCACCAAAAGGAAAAGAACUGGUGAGGACAUGACCAUUGUAGCAGCAGGAGGGAUCCAGCUGUGGGACGAGGCAGUGGUUGCUGCACACCCAUAUAACCCAGAUUCACAGUGCAGAGGGUUGAGAAAAAUUCGUGAUGCAGGAAGUCGAGUAGAUGUGUCGUGUUUUGGAGGAUAGAAGCAGGCCAGCAGGAAAGCUUUGCGGAAACCCGAACGUCAAACAGCCCCAAACUCACGAACUCUGCAUGCAACACUUAGCUAACACACUGACUCAAGCGUUUGGAUGAAGAUCCUUCCAACAUAUGGUCUGAAAUGAGUCUCUCCUGUAAAUUUCAUGGAGUUAUUUUCUUUAUAGCUUUACUCUUCUGAAGCCUAGUAAAAAUGCCCGUUCUCUGUUUAUUCUGGCUAUUUAGGCUAGCAGUUAUAUAAUGUUCAUGAAACAGAAGCAGCAUAUAAUUUUUAUGGUUCGCAAUAUCUCUCCUCA
rnacentral:lncRNA from 1 species